UNGGUACUGCAUGCACAUGGGGCACAGU
rnacentral:piRNA from 1 species